CGCCGCUCGUUAUUAACUUUCCCAUCACAUAUGUUUGUUGACAGCGGUCAGCCGCAGAGGUUCCAUGGAUAGACACGCUUACCAACACAGACACAAAACGCUGGGUGACCCAAGCACGUUUAACACAAUUUAUCUCAAUGGAUGUCAGCGGACUAGUGACGAAACAUUAGAAGAAGAAGGAAAUGCGUCAACCAAUAUCUUGCAUUUGGCACUUGACAUUUAUACUGUAUGUAAGAGACACAAUACACAUGUAUGUAUGUAUCGGUGUGAGGUUGCACGUAACACAGCGUUUACCACCAUUACGAGGCAUCGUUUCUUUGUUCUUGGCUUAACGUUGGCAAUGUGCAACAGGGCGUAUGUGUAACAGACUUAGUGCCAUCGCCAUCGCCAUCGUUUACAUCAGCCAGACUGCCUGGCGACAUUGGGAUUGAAUACAAUUUCCUUCCAUCCAGAAUUUGUGGCCCCACCUACAUUGUUGGCAUCAGCUAAACCUAGUUACAUUUCAUACAUACUUAAUCUAUCAACCAAAGUCACAUGUAAAUGCCAUUAUUAUACAUUUGCAUACUAUUAUAAGCCGCAAAAUUGUGUGUGCAUACAAUUAACACAACUUCCUCCACACACACAAAAAAAAACAAAAAAAAAUACAAAUCUCGUACAACAAAAUGAAUUGCAAAGUCCAGGGUGCUAGUUGUCGGCGUCACCUUGUCGCCGGAAUCUCAAGCCCCGAGGGUCUGAAUAGGAAAUUCAAAACCCAGUUCGUCUGAUUUAUCAACAGCCAGCAGCAGCAGCAAGACUAGAAUUUAAAUGCAAAACGUGUAACCAACUUGUAACUUUUACAUAACUAACAAUGAGUGGGGAGAAAAAAAAACAAAAAUAGAACUUGAAACCAGCCAAACAAACUGAAAAAAACCCCUAUAAACCAAUUCAAUUGAAGGCUAAUGGUUUACCCUUGCAGACAAUCAAGGAAUGGAGAAGGAUAACCACAAGGACAUAACCCUUAUAUAAAAUUUUCACUUACAAUACAUUUUACCUUGUAGUUACAAUGAAUAUUCAAUGUGAAAGAUAUAUUUAUAAGCCAAUUUGGUUAUGACAACGUUCAGAUUGAACUAUGUUAUACAAUUCGUUAGGUUUGUGUUAACAAUUGUCAACAUUUUUAACAGAUUUAUCUAGAGUAU